UGGGGAAUUUUGGACAAUGGGCGAAAGCCUGAUCCAGCAAUGCCGCGUGUGUGAAGAAGGCCUUCGGGUUGUAAAGCACUUUUGUCCGGAAAGAAAUCCUCUGGGUUAAUACCUCGGGGGGAUGACGGUACCGGAAGAAUAAGCACCGGCUAACUACGUGCCAGCAGCCGCGGUAAUACGUAGGGUGCAAGCGUUAAUCGGAAUUACUGGGCGUAAAGCGUGCGCAGGCGGUUUUGUAAGACGGAUGUGAAAUCCCCGGGCUUAACCUGGGAACUGCAUUCGUGACUGCAAGGCUAGAGUAUGGCAGAGGGGGGUAGAAUUCCACGUGUAGCAGUGAAAUGCGUAGAGAUGUGGAGGAAUACCGAUGGCGAAGGCAGCCCCCUGGGCCAAUACUGACGCUCAUGCACGAAAGCGUGGGGAGCAAACAGGAUUCAGAUACCCUGGUAGUCCACGCCCUAAACGAUGUCAACUAGUUGUUGGGGAUUCAUUUCCUUAGUAACGUAGCUAACGCGUGAAGUUGACCGCCUGGGGAGUACGGUCGCAAGAUU
rnacentral:rRNA from 1 species